rnacentral:rRNA from 1 species
GAUGAACGCUGACAGAAUGCUUAACACAUGCAAGUCAACUGUGGCGGACGGGUGAGUAACGCGUAAAGAACUUGCCUCACAGCUAGGGACAACAUUUGGAAACGAAUGCUAAUACCUGAUACUGUGAGAGAGCUUUGCGUCCCAUUAGCUAGUGGGAGAGGUAACGGCUCACCAAGGCGAGGAGGGGUAGCCGGCCUGAGAGGGUGAUCGGGCACAAGGGGACUGGGACACGGCCCUUACUCCUACGGGCAGCAGGAGUGGGGAAUAUGGGACGAUGGACCAAAGUCUGAUCCAGCAAUUCGGUGUGUACGAUGAAGUUUUCGGAAUGUAAAGUGCUUUCAGUUGGGAAGCGUUACCAACAGAAGAAGUUACGGCUAAAUACGUGCCAGCAGCCGCGGUAAUAC